UGCCAGACUCCUACGGGAGGCAGCAGUGGGGAAUAUUGCACAAUGGGGGAAACCCUGAUGCAGCGACGCCGCGUGAAGGAAGAAGUAUUUCGGUAUGUAAACUUCUAUCAGCAGGGAAGAAAAUGACGGUACCUGACUAAGAAGCCCCGGCUAACUACGUGCCAGCAGCCGCGGUAAUACGUAGGGGGCAAGCGUUAUCCGGAUUUACUGGGUGUAAAGGGAGCGCAGGCGGCGCGGUAAGUCUGAUGUGAAAGCCCGGGGCUCAACCCCGGGACUGCAUUGGAAACUGUCGUGCUGGAGUGUCGGAGGGGCAAGUGGAAUUCCUAGUGUAGCGGUGAAAUGCGUAGAUAUUAGGAGGAACACCAGUGGCGAAGGCGGCUUGCUGGACGACAACUGACGCUGAGGCUCGAAAGCGUGGGGAGCAAACAGGAUUAGAUACCCGUGUACC
rnacentral:rRNA from 1 species